GUUUUUACUUGGAUCGACAGCCAGAAAUCAACACGGAGAGAGACAUCUACAACCCUACUUCACUCUGGAUGCUUUUCCCCUCUGCAAGUAGAGACUGACUGGGUGCUUGAACCUUGGUCGGUUCGCAUCCUAACGUGUGCUCAACCAGGUAACUGACACAGCAGAAAUGAAAAAAACUUAGGCAAAAGAAUGGAGAGAAAACCAGUGCAAGUGGCGGACUCAGUCCCACCUUCCAGGAUCCCAGAUCAAUUGGAAACUGAAGCAGAUUCAGAUUGUAGCCAACCUGUUCUCCCCUUUUGAUAUUGUUAGCACCUUAGUGGACUCUGUAACCGAUCAGCUUGUACCACACCUACCUUGAAGAAGAAGAAGAAAAGAAAAUGCUGAGUGUUGAGGUAAAGCAUAAAUCCUGAUAGAAUCUGAAAUUCCUUAAUGAGAAAUGAAUUUAACUCCCUGCCCUCCAUGCAGCCUAAGUAGGUCUCAGUCUUUGACUACACUUGAACUGUAAUACUGGAGAGCUAUAUUACAGAUUUUUUUUACAUAAUACAGCCAAAAUCUAAAAUAGGCUGAGACUAAAGGCAGUGAAUAAUCUGAAAGCCUGUAUUGUAUGUUCCAGCAAGAAGAAAAAUAUUUUAAAUCAUCUCAGAACAGAAGGCUCCCAGGACAAAUACACAGAAUAUACAUAUCUGCAUGUGUCUAUUAAAAUAUCAAUUUUGUCUGUAUAGAACAUUACUUCAGUUAUUCCUUUCACUGAAAAUGUUACAAUGUUUAUUCAUGUUAUUUUAGUUAACCUGGACUUUUAUUCAUCAUGAUGUAGGGGGGAAAGUAGGUGAUUGUUUUUGGUGACCUAAAGUUCCAAAUUCAAAUUCAGUUCUCAGUUCUAACCCCAGUAAUUCCACUUCUUAAAACAUAAUUAAGUCUCCAAGUAUAGCAUUCAACUUUAAAUUACUAAUAGUGUUUUCUAUAUGUGAAAGCAAAGUAGAGAUUCAAUUUAUAUUGCCACCCCUUCCCAGAGCUUCCUCAUGAAAUGAAAAAUCUAUAGGCUCCUGGUGGAUGCCCAUUUCUACACCUCAGCAUCCCAGUGGCGGGCUCUGAUUUUAGCCAAACUGCUCUCACCUUUAUUGUCAACACUUGGUGGACUUUGUUUCUAACCAAUCUGCUUGUGCUGCACCCAGUUUGAAACUGAUAAAUGCUGGCUGCUGCAGGACAAGCAUGUGCAGGUCUAGUAGGAAUCAGCCUGUAACCUGUUAACAAAAUAAAUGUAACUCCCUGCCCUC